rnacentral:rRNA from 4 species
GUGUAAGCGCUGUGAGGCGUUGAGCUAACCAAUACUAAUUGCCCGUGAGGCUUGACCAUAUAACACCCAAGCAAUU